rnacentral:rRNA from 1 species
UACCGGCGCCUCAAGUGGUAGUCGCUUUUAUUGGGCCUAAAACGUCCGUAGCCGGUCUGGUACAUUCGUGGGUAAAUCAACUCGCUUAACGAGUUGAAUUCUGCGAGGACGGCCAGACUUGGGACCGGGAGAGGUGUGGGGUACUCUCAGGGUAGGGGUAAAAUCCUGUCAUCCUGAGAGGACCACCUGUUGCGAAGGCUCCACACUAGAACGGAUCCGACGGUCAGGGACGAAGCCUAGGGGCACGAACCGG